CUAACACACAGCGAGUCAGGAACAUUGGAAAUCAUCACAAAGAAAGACAGAGGUCCCCUGUGUGACCCUAAGAUAUCCGAGUCCAGGGAACUACUCAGAAUUUCAUUGACACCUACCCCUCUGUUCUUCUUCCAUUGAGGAAGUCAAAAGAUCUCCAGUUCCAUUUGUGAGACACCACCAGGCCCUGGUGCUGAAAAACUCUGAGAAGUGCUGGUAGUAGAGAUGAAGGGAACCAUUACAAGACAAUAUGGAAAAGUAAACUCCAUUCUGGAAAAUGUUGGGAAGUGAGAGGGAAAUUGAAGGCUGAGAAUCUGAUAUCAAAACACCAAGAACCUGGAGUAGUACAAGGCUGUCAGAUCUUCACUGAGAGUCGGAUGGAGGAGGCUGGGCACUGAGAGUCAGAUGGAGGAAGCUUUGGCACUGCUAAAGUGAAGGAGAGAAUGGGAGACAGGCAGGUGAACGAACACAUUUGACCCACAGUUGGAAGCGGCAACGCGGGCAUUCUUCUAUUGUGACAUCUGCCUGACUCGGCCUACACUGUGGACAAACAGAUGAAUACCCAGAGAGUUGCAUGUCUCAUAUUGCCUAAGACGAAGACAGCUCCUGAGAAGCAAGCCACAGAUGCUCCAGCCUGCUCUCACAGACACAGACGCUUCUACUGGACCUGCACCUUCCUACCUAAAAAUGGUUCCACAGAUCUUAGACAGCAAGGAAGCAGCUAACUCUCCUAAGACUGGACCAGCACCCCCACUCCCAUUUUCUUAGGUUCCCCAGAGACAUGUCACCCCAAAGUCAGCAAGAAGUAGCUAAAGAUCACAAUGACCCUAUUCCUGUUUCACCACCACUUCUUUCUAGAUUCUCCUUUUUAAAUUAAACUAAAAUGGAGGAAUGCUGGCAUUCCUUGUACGAUCCGGCCCAACAGUUACCUAGCAACAACCACAUAGGCCUGGCUUGCUAUAAAAGGGACUGUUUGGCCUCUCCCUCAAUGUCUAACUCUAUCUGCCCUUCUGCCCCUUUUCUCUCUCU